UACAGAGGGGGGCAAGCGUUAUUCGGAAUUAUUGGGCGUAAAGGGCGCGUAGGCGGCUUGGCAAGUGGAUGGUGAAAUCCCUCGGCUUAACCGAGGAACUGCCGUCCAAACUGCUUCGCUUGAGACCGGGAGAGGUGAGUGGAAUUCCCAGUGUAGCGGUGAAAUGCGUAGAUAUUGGGAGGAACACCAGUGGCGAAGGCGGCUCACUGGACCGGUACUGACGCUGAUGCGCGAAAAGCGUGGGGAGCAAACGGG
rnacentral:rRNA from 1 species